AGGUCUCCUGAAGGAACGUUGAAGACGACGACGUUGAUAGGCCGGGUGUGUAAGCGCAGCGAUGCGUUGAGCUAACCGGUAC
rnacentral:rRNA from 1 species